CCAGCCUUGACUGAGCAACCGAUUUUCAUGCAUCCUUUAAACCAGCAUUCCCUGCCUUUUCUGAAGGACAGCACACGUCGCUAGCUGUCUGUUUCUUCCCCCUUAAACAAUAUAGGUUCGGGGUUGGUUUUUUUUUUUUUUCUUUUUCCCCUCCCCAUCUCAUUUCUUUCCGCCUGCAAAGUGAUUUGAGAGCCCCGCGACGCAGCCUGCUACUGGAGCGGGGACUUCUCUGGAACACUGGCGUGCGCAGGGAUUAAUCCCACCGCAGAGAGCCAGCCUGGCCUUUGAAGUGUUACAAGGGGAAGGAGGAGAGCGGAGAGGGAGCGAGCGCUGUACCGCAGACAUCAUUUCUACUACAGUGGUGGAGACAUCCCGGACCUGUGUCACUGCAGGGGGGAGGAAAAAAGCCAAACAAACAAAAAGCAGACCCAAGCCCCGUGAUCAGCUAGGAAGACAUUUGUGUGCGAGUCUCUUUCUGACCCCCCCACACCCGCCAACCCCACCUCCACUGACACUUUACAUCACAUUGCAGGCCAAGCCAGAUGGGCAAGCAAUACAAGCUGUGAAUUUAUUCUCGACCCCAUAG
rnacentral:lncRNA from 1 species